GGCUUGAGGACCGUAUUCAUGGAAGAGGAUUGAACAGAGAUGAAGUAGACAGUAUGUUGGAUAAAUCUGGAGUAAAGAACCCAGCAAUUGGUAAAGAUGAGAAUAUAUCGCCUCAAGUAAAAGGAGAUGAAGACAUGGGAGAUGAAAUUGACAGUAUGUUGGCUACAUCUGGAGCUGCAUCAUUAGACUGAAAGUGAAUGGCCCAUGUGUUGCCACUGAUGUGAGCCAUUUGCAAGCCG
rnacentral:precursor_RNA from 1 species